AGACAAUAGGCAUUGAUUUUAAAAUGAGGUCAGACAAUAUAUUUUGAAUUGUGCUCAAUUAAGAUGGCUGUGAACACUAUGCUACAGUGAAAUGGUAUCAGUCACACCUCAUAGUAUAAAACUAUGUGUGUACUUGUAUGCAUGAUAUGUAACUUGCAAUGGCAGUUAUACUAAGCCUGUAUAAGUUUCUGUUGUACAUAAAAAGAAUAUAUUCUUUGAGUGCCUGUUCACAUACAGAAUAUGAACAAACAUGGAUGCUUGAGCACUGUAAGCUAUCGGGGUCGUUAUACACCUCUUACCCUGCCAGUACCCCUUUGUUUUAGCUGCUGUUUCAUGCUGAAGCGUAUUAUUUGGUCCUCAGUUCCUCUUGGAUGGUCUGCAGCAAGAUGAAAUGCCUUGUUGCUGUCUUCGGAUUGCUGUGGAAUUGUGGAUUAUGAGCCAUCCUGAACAGGAGACUUAUGCCUGGGAUAUCUCAAGAGCACUCUUCCCUUCAUGUCUUUGUCCUUAUCAUCCUGGCAGUUUCCCUUGAGGUUUGAUCAAGGUUGAUGCCAGCUCUGUGGAACUGGCUGUCAUUCAAAUGGAGCUGGAGGUGGUAAAAAGCAAAAGAGCCAUCAGCUCAUCCACUGGUCGUAUUUGCUUGGCAGAAAUGGGCCUUCUGACAUGGAAACGCCUCUUUGGUCAUCUGCUCUGGACUUUGAAAGAGAUCGCCCAGCACUGUGUGUUCCGUUGCAUCUCCGAAGGACCUGAUUAUUCUCCAAGAGUUCUGGUUGCCUCUGCUAGCAUUUCCACUGGCACCAGCUGUUGCACCAUUGCCACAGGUUGCAAGAAUUCCUUGUAGCUUUGAGAAUGAUCAGAAUCUGAAUGUUUGUAAUGGGCACAGCUGUUCUUCCUGCUCAUGAUGAACAAAUGACACAAGGUGCUCCAAAGACAUUAUGGAAAAGAGUACUCAGCUUUGGCUCCCCAAUAUCUUUGGUCACUGGAUUACUGUUCCUUUUUGGAUAUCCUCUACGAUCUUCUGCAGGCAAGUAAAAAGACUCUUCUCAUAAUUUAGGCUAUUGUGGACCUGCUUGAAGAUCUGUGACUAGGCUUCUAUCUUCUUGACUCCUCCUCAUCUCUGAACAAAUAUAAAGUAUCAGGUUCUCUGGGGAUUAGAGUGGAUUAUUUUUGCCCUUUCUUUUUUCUCUCUUAUUCUGACAUUGCAUUCCCUUAUCUCUCUGAUUUUGUAGCUUGUGAAAAGCUUCAGCAGUUUAGAGCACAAAAAGCAAACAAAAGAGAACCCUGAAAGACUGGAUCUUACUGGUGUAAAAAGCAAACAUAAAACAUGGCAAGUCUUCAUUUGGUUUGCCAACUGUUGGACUUCAGGGAUCCUACUGUAAUUUGUGAAGUUGGCGUUCCUCGUCUAUAUAGUAGCUUCCGCUAGGUUCCCGAGAGAAUUAAGCAUCUCUCUGGCAGAAGGUCACAUAAUGUCCAGGGUCUUGCUCUGCUGGAUGCUGGCUUCCUGCUCCAUUCCUGUAACUAUGGCUAUGCAGUGACAAUCCAGACUUCAUAUUUUGGUUUCCACAGAAGCUGCUGUUUGCUUUGCAGGGUUCCUUCUCGGUAAAGAGCGAGCUUUUUAGCUUUAAUAAGGUUUCUAAUGCACGGAAGGACUGUAGAGCAAUCCUUUAAUCUUAGACGUGUGUACUGGCUUUUGAGUAGUCAGUAUGUAGAUCUAUCGGCUACGCUGGAGAGCCUGUCAGCUUCAUCCCUAGUUGUUCAUCCCCAUAGCCUGGAGGGUGCCUAUGUAGGACUAGAUGCAAGUCGGAUGCUGCCUUGACUUCCUUUUCUGCUUUUGUCUUCCAGGCAGCUGUGCCAGAGGGGUAUAACUCACUACUUUUGUCUUUGCUUUCUGUGUUUGCUUCAGUGCUAGAAUUUUGCUAGACUGGGGGCUGUCUGUACUGGACACCGAAAACAGAAUGUAUCGCUUCUUUAUUUCAGUUUUCCUCUCUUGCUUGCUUUCUUUGUUUCUAGGGGUUCUUCUUAUGAAAUCUUACUCUUGCCGUUCUUUGAGUGACAGAACUGGGUUGCCCUUACAUUAAUGUUUAAAAUACGACUGCACAGGACAAAGCUGUUCAGAUGUCCUAAGAGGUGGUCUUCUGUCUCUAGUGAUAAUAUUCACAGGCACAGGGGAACUGUUACCAGUGAACAGAGUGCCCUCCACCAGGACUUGGGCCAGCUUGGUGGUAUGACAUAUAUGAUGUCUAGAUCCUGGACAGCUGCAAGGGAAUUUUUUUAACACUCCGGAUGUGCUUUCAUCAGCAGUGAUGGCAUUGCUUCCUUCAAGAGAUCUCGGCAGCAGUGAGUACAAGCUCUGUGGUUGCUGUCUGCAUGAUGACUUUCUUCCGGAGGAAUUUGUGGCACUAGCUGGAGUCAUCCCCAGUGGAAAAGUACACAUGGAUAGUACACCCAAAAAUUCCAGUUGCUUCCAUGCAGCUUCCUUCUGUUAUUUGCUUGUCACAACCUCUUGUAUGCCAUCUAUUAGUGACAAAAGGUACAUGCACUGCAAAUAGCCUGCAUAAUAAGUGUUGGUCUCGUGGGGUUUUUUUUCCCUCUUUUAAACUAUAUGUAUUGGGUGAAAUCCAGUUGAUACUCUCUUGCAGUUGAGGUUUAAAAGGUGUUAAUAUUCUCCACUGCGUGACCACAGCUGCAAAUACUUCCAGUAUUGGCAAUAAAAAAAGCAAUGCUAGCCAACAGGGCCAGAUUUACAAAGCUAUUUAGGUGCCUAAAAAAUGUAGAGCAGUGCUUCUGAAAGUCUCCAUGACACUUAUCUGUAGGCAUCUAAAUAGCUCAUAAAUCCUGUAUUUUGUCUUGAACUGUAGUGUUCCUCUCUGGACCCGCCCUUGCAGCUGUUGGUAUGCAAAAAAAAGCACGGUGUAGGUACAGAUGUGUGGGGUUUUUUGUUUUUUUGUUUAACUAGAGCUCUAAACUUUAUAUCCUCAUACUGUAUUGUUUACAAAUAUACAGUUUUAAGAUGCUGAAGCUGUGAUUGGCAUGGUUUGCUGCUUUUUUUUCUAAUGGAUGAAUUUAUUUACAUGUUUGAUCCUAGCUGUGUAUUGUCAAUGUACUUUGGCCAUAUGCAAAGCUGAACAGACUGCUGCUGCAGGCCUGAGUAUCAUGUGUAUACCUUAUGUGUUUGGAAGAUGGUAUGUGGGAGUUGAGCUACAGUGGUGUGAAUAUUUUUAUUAACUCAGUAGCAUCAGGUGAAUUUUAGACUUGUGCUUAAAAAUGUCUCUGAUUAAGUCUGCUAAGAUAGUCCCUAACACUGCGGCUUUGCUGCUUACCACUGCUGGUCUGUACGGAGUCCUUCUAUGAUACUUUCUUUGCAUGCUGUAGCAAUGAUGUAAAUAAAGCAUUAGAACAGCUGA